rnacentral:rRNA from 1 species
UACGUAGGGUGCAAGCGUUGUCCGGAAUUAUUGGGCGUAAAGAGCUCGUAGGCGGUUUGUCGCGUCGAAUGUGAAAACCCGGGGCUCAACCCCGGACUUGCAGUGGGUACGGGCAGACUAGAGUGUGGUAGGGGAGACUGGAAUUCCUGGUGUAGCGGUGGAAUGCGCAGAUAUCAGGAGGAACACCGAUGGCGAAGGCAGGUCUCUGGGCCACUACUGACGCUGAGAAGCGAAAGCAUGGGGGAGCGAACAGGG